AGAAUCAACGCUGGCGGCGUGCCUAACACAUGCAAGUCGAACGAGAAAGGGUAGCAAUACCUGAGUAAAGUGGCGCACGGGUGAGUAACACGUGACUAACCUACCCUGGAGUGGGGGAUAACUGAGGGAAACCUUAGCUAAUACCGCAUAAUAUCUACGGGUCAAAGGAGCAAUUCGCUUCAGGAGGGGUCGCGGCCGAUUAGUUAGUUGGCGGGGUAAUGGCCCACCAAGACGAUGAUCGGUAUCCGGCCUGAGAGGGCGCACGGACACACUGGAACUGAAACACGGUCCAGACUCCUACGGGAGGCAGCAGUGGGGAAUUUGCGCAAUGGGGGAAACCCUGACGCAGCAACGCCGCGUGGAGGAUGAAGUCCUUCGGGACGUAAACUCCUUUCGAUCGGGACGAUUAUGACGGUACCGGAAGAAGAAGCCCAGGCUAACUUCGUGCCAGCAGCCGC
rnacentral:rRNA from 1 species